CGCCCAUAGUCUGUGGGUCGGACGUCUGACAGUCACACCCACCGCGAAGAUCUGCGAGCGGAAACGGAAUCUACUCCCGGGAAAGGCUGAUUGCGCGGUGGCCUGCCGCGUGUGUUGAGGAGAGGCUCUGGAGACUUAAAGAGCCCGACGCUCAAGUGAUCUUGCCAACUACCAUUCCAAUGAAUUCAUGUUUUAUUUUGUUGUGGUACAGGCUCAGGAUCUCCAGUGUCCCCAGCUGCCUCUGAAUUCACUAAGCAGUGAAGUACGGUCUCCGUCUGGACCUCCUGAUCUUCCAGUUUGCUUUGUCUAAGCAUUCCAUCUCCUUCAGGGCCCUACCCAAUUUGUAUGGACCUCCAGAAUGGAAUCUCUGUCUCAGGACUCUGUUACUUAAGCACGUGAUGCCUAAAGCACUAUUAACAACAGAUAAAGCCUUUCACACUGUGGUGAUUCAACGGCCAGUGAAUGAUUAUAAAUCUUUAUUCCAACUGGACUCCUUUUUCUAGUUGCUAAGACUUGUGUAUAGGUGCCUCUGGGCAUGGGAACAAAUGCAGUCAACAUACGCCUUUAAUUUGACAAGGAGAAAGGGCCGUGAACAACUGUAAAUUGUCAUAACAGCAGCAGCUACCAGCCUUGAUUUCUGUAGCAACAAAGAGGAGAGAAGCAGCCUGCUUUGCACAUCAAAGAGGCCCAUCACAUCCUUCAACUGUGGAUGCUCACAAGGUGUGGAAGAGAGUAUCUGAAAUAGAAAUCAUCGCUCCCAGGAAAUGACAUUGAAAUUCUUGGAUCAGCCAAGAGAAUUUAGAGGUGAUCUGCUGCCCUCAUCUGCAUACACGUGGUGCACAUAGACUCAUGCUGGCACACAUACAUUCAUGAAGCUGUUGUUUUCCUUGGUACUCAUGGAAUAGAGAAGUAGCAUGCUGGAGAGGAAAAAUUCAGGCUUUGGGGUGAGGAGGAUCAGCUUCAUCGCCACGUGGACAGGUAAGAUUCAAUUUCCCUAGCUCUCUUCUGAGCGCAGAAUGACUGCAUGUCCUACGUGCGAGGAGCUCUCAAAGCCGUGUUUUAAGUGUGUGUUAAAGAGUCCCAGGUCUCAAACCUGGGACAAAUGGCUGAAGUGCUCAUUAACGUACCAAAGUGGAUGCUGACCGCCAGGUUCUCCCAGCAUCCUUCAGUCUCUGUUACCGGCCCCCUCCUGAUUGGUCCCCUAUCCUGAACUCUCCAGCCCAGGUAUUUCCCCUCCCGGCGUUUCUGACUCCUAUAUAACUCAGCCAUUUUUGGCUAUGUUAACCCCUUGGCCCAGUCUGCCCCUCUUGGUUGGUGAUUCCUUUCUCCUUUCUCUCCCAUCUCCUCACAUGUCCCGGCUCAGGAAUGAAGGUCAUGUUCACUCUGGGUUUUCCCACUGGCUUUCUGCCUGUGCUCUCUCUCUUAUCAACAGUAAACCUCUUCCACCAUACCUAGGAGCAGUCAUGUCCUUCUGUAGCUUGACUUUUGGGGUACUUUAUUGGGUUCUAUGAUCUACUACUCUUCCAACCCUUAUCCCACCCUAAUACCUUCCAACCUUCCAACACUAGGUAGGAAAUAGAAAAGGUUGGGGGGCACCAACCUUUGGGCUGAUUAGGGGCAUCCAGGUUCCUUGGGGGCAAGUCCAAUCUCAGUCAUCAGGAUACCUACAACAAGAAAUUCAGCAAUUCAGCAAUAGCAAAAGCAGCAGCAGCGGGAACAGCAGCUGCCACAGCCCUCUGGAGCUCUGGCAUUUAUACCUUCUCAAGAGUCCGCAGAAUGCCAAACAUAAACUAUAUGCAGCUGGCAAAAAUCACGCCCUCCUGGAGCAUGAGACAGUUAUAGUCAGCGGUUGUGGACAGUCUGAAGUGGCUGCAUAUCCCACACCUGGGAUUGAACAAAAACAUAUUCACAUAACUGGGUUUUUAAAGAAACCAAAGUUGUCACUAUAUCUUUUUUUAUUGUUUUAUUCAAAGAGUCCAGUGCAAUCUCUGGUAGGUGUCUCCAGCACCAGAGUGACACUCGGGGGAGCCUGAGGGCUGGAAGUACAGGGGCAAGAAACAUCUUUGAAAACACUUCAGUGCCCAAACUGCUCACGGUGUUUCUGCCUUGUGAGCCAGGACACAAGGCUUUGAGUCACUACUUUUCAUUCCCUCCAGGAUGAACAAGAUGUUUGUUUUGUGCACAGUAGUGGAACACAGGGCCUCCAGCAUGGUGCUUGUAUGUUCUCUCAGUGGGCUCCACCCAGUUGAGAAACUAAGGUUUGUAUUGGAAUUCAGCACUCCCUAUGUUCCAGACACAUGCAUGUGCUUUCCACCAACUUUUUUUUUCUGUCCAAUCCCUGACAGCUAAUCUGAGUAUCCCCUGCCAUUCUGAGGUGAGCCGUGCUAGAGAUCCCGUCGCAACUCUCCAGUCACGAUUUUCCUGACUGGACCCUUUGUCCUCUCUCAAUUCAAAUACUCUCAAUUUGGAUCAUAUGUUACAGCAUGCAUGUGUGGGGGUGUGCCCGUGCUGUAUCACAGAUAUGGAGAUCAGAGAACAACUUGUAGGCAUCAGUUGUCUCUCCAUACUAUGUGUGGGCCCUGGGGAGCCAAUCAGGCUGCCAGCUUUGGCAGCAGGCACUUCACCCACUGUGCUCUCUCACCAGCCCUCGCCCAGCUAUGAUCUUUUUCUUUCUUCCCAUGCCAGGAACAGAACAGUGCAUGAACAUCUUGAAUAUGCUACCCAAGCCUCUAACAGCCAAGCUAAUCCACCAGCAGCUAAUCUGCAGACAUCCUUUCAUUGAGCAGUUAUUUCUCCCUCGAUGUUCUGAUUGCUGCAGGUGACCUCCAAAUACUUUUGAACCCUUGCUCAAAAAAAAAAAAAAAAAGCUGGAGAGAGAGGUGAACAUGAAAAGGGGGAUGGAAGAGGCAAAGGGAGAGAAGCAGGCAAUCGACUCCACAAUGAUACUCAUUCCUUUAUUGUCAACUGUGUUAAUCUCAACAGGGCUGGGGCCUGCAGGCUGCUGGCAGCACCAAGCUAGGGUGCAUUUCCACUUAACAGAAAGGCCUCCAUCCUAAACCAAGGGGACAGAGGUUAAUGCUUUGUAUAUAUUUAUAUAUUUAUAUAUUACAUAUGUCCCAUAUGUAUAGAGUGACAAGAAUGGGCCACUGUGUGUAACUUUAAUUAAAGGCCAUAGCAACAUACAUAGAAAUUUGAUCCUAAUUAAGGCCCUUACUUUGUCAAUCAAAUGUCUGAUACAGUGAAAGAAAAAGGAGAGAGACAGAGACUGAGAUCCAGCCACCUUCAGUAGCCCUGUCCCCAGGGUAUCCUACAUUGAGUGUAGUGCCCCCUGUACAGGCAAACAUAAACACACAUGUACAUACAUAAACACGCAUGUACAAUACCAUAGGCAGGAGCACCUCCUCUGAGCACACCUUGGGCCCAGCAUUUGGCUGCGGUGCUGAAGUGGGGAUAUUGUGCUCUAAGACGGUGAGGGUAGUGACCCAGAUAAUGCGGAGUCAGUGUGUCCAGGUGAUGAGUGGGGUGGCUCAUGCAGCUUCAUCUACAAAUGACAGAGGUGGGGGGGUCCCCCAAUGCCCAGGUCACAUCGGGAGAUUUCUACACACAGCUCCUGUCCCAGAGAAAGCCAUUCCUCUGGUUUGAAUCCUGAGUGUCAAAUAAUCAGAGGGCUCUGAUGGAAACCUAGGAGUCCCUUGAAGGACAGGCAACCGCAAGGCUCAACCAUUCAGUCCAGUAGAACAGUAGAAAGGACAACAGCGGAGUCAAAGCAAGAGAUGCUCAGACAGGACCUUGAAUGGUGCAAGAAGGGCUUGUUUCCCAGAGGACGAGAACGGCCUGCUGCCCUUCGCCACACAAAACUUCUGGCAGAUCUGUGUCAUCUUCAUGCCUUACAGAAGUAAGAGACCUGCUUAUAAGCCUGGGAAGGGGACUCCCAACACUGGAGCACUUGAAAUCUUAACUCCUGUCUCCUCUCACUGAAUUUACCCUCUACCACCCACCAAAAUAUACAUAUUGAAAAGUCAUGGGAGACCUUGAACUUCUGAUCUGUCUGCCUUCAUCUCCCAAGUGCUGGGAUUAAAGGUGUACAGUGCAUGCACCACCAAACGCAGUUUAAAC